rnacentral:rRNA from 1 species
GGCGAAGCUGAGAACUUAAGCGCCAGUAAACGGCGGUGGUAACUAUAACCAUCCUAAGGUAGCGAAAUUCCUUGUCGGGUAAGUUCCGACCUGCACGAAUGGCGUAACGACUUCUCGACUGUCUCAACCAUAGGCCCGGUGAAAUUGCACUACGAGUAAAGAUGCUCGUUUCGCGCAGCAGGACGGAAAGACCCCGGGACCUUUACUAUAGCUUGAUAUUGGUGUUCGGUUCGGCUUGUGUAGGAUAGGUGGGAGACUGUGAAGCAUGCACGCCAGUGUGUGUGGAGUCGUCGUUGAAAUACCACUCUGGUCGUGCUGGAUGUCUAACCUGGGUCCGUGAUCCGGAUCAGGGACAGUGUCUGGUGGGUAGUUUAACUGGGGCGGUUGCCUCCUAAAGAGUAACGGAGGCGCCCAAAGGUUCCCUCAGCCUGGUUGGCAAUCAGGUGUUGAGUGUAAGUGCACAAGGGAGCUUGACUGUGAGACCGACGGGUCGAGCAGGGACGAAAGUCGGGACUAGUGAUCCGGCGGUGGCUUGUGGAAGCGCCGUCGCUCAACGGAUAAAAGGUACCCCGGGGAUAACAGGCUGAUCUUCCCCAAGAGUCCAUAUCGACGGGAUGGUUUGGCACCUCGAUGUCGGCUCGUCGCAUCCUGGGGCUGGAGUCGGUCCCAAGGGUUGGGCUGUUCGCCCAUUAAAGCGGUACGCGAGCUGGGUUUAGAACGUCGUGAGACAGUUCGGUCCCUAUCCGCUGUGCGCGUAGGAAUAUUGAGAAGGGCUGUCCCUAGUACGAGAGGACCGGGACGGACGAACCUCUGGUGUGCCAGUUGUCCUGCCAAGGGCAUGGCUGGUUGGCUACGUUCGGGAGGGAUAACCGCUGAAAGCAUCUAAGCGGGAAGCCUGCUUCGAGAUGAGUAUUCCCACCCCCUUUGAGGGGUUAAGGCUCCCAGUAGACGACUGGGUUGAUAGGCCAGGUGUGGAAGACCGGUAACGGUUGGAGCUGACUGGUACUAAUAGGCCGAGGGCUUGUCCUC